UGGCGGGGUAGAGGCCAAGAACCGCGUCCCGCUACGACGGGCACCCGAAGGGGCGCGGGGAGCCAGUGGUGCGACCGGCUACCGCCCAC
ncrna:unclassified sequences c-di-GMP-II-GAG riboswitch